GUAAUCACUGCCAAAGGUGCUUCAACAAAGUGCUGGGUAAAGGGUCUGAAUAAUUAUGUAAAUAUGAUAUUUCUGUUUUUAAAUGGAAUAAAUUAGCAAAAAUAUCUAAAAACCUGUUUUUACUUUGUCGCUAUGGGUUAUUGUGUGUAGAUUGAAUUUUAGAAUAAGGCUGUAACCUAACAAAAUGUGGAAAAUGUCAAGGGGUCUGAAUACUUUCCGUUCAAAAGUUUGGGGGUCACUUAGAAAUGUCCUUGUUUUGAAAGAAAAUUUAAAAAAUGGUCCAUUAAAAUAACAUCAAAUUGAUCAGAAAUACAGUGUAGACAUUGUUAAUGUUGUAAAUGACUAUUGUAGUUGGAAACGGCGUAUAGAGGCCCAUUAUCAGCAACCAUCUCUCCUGUGUUCCAAUGGCACGUUGUGUUAGCUAAUCCAAGUUGAUCAUUUUAAAAGGCUAAUUGAUCAUUAGAAAACCCUUUUGCAAUUAUGUUAGCACAGCUGAAAACAGUUGUUCUGAUUGAAGCAAAUAAACUGGCCUUCUUUAGACUAGUUGAGUAUCUGGAGCAUCAGCGUUUGUGAGUUCGAUUACAGGCUCAAAAUGGCCAGAAACAAAGACAUUUCUUCUGAAACUCGUCAGUCUAUUCUUGUUCUGAGAAAUGAAGGCUAUUCCAUGCGAGAAAUUGCCAAGAAACUGAAGAUCUCGUACAAUGCUGUGUACUACUCCCUUCACAGAACAGCGCAAACUGGCUCUAACCAGAAUAGAAAGAGGAGUGGGUGGCCCCGGUGCACAACUGAGCAAGAGGACAAGUACAUUAUAGUGACUAGUUUGAGAAACAGACAAAAAAGUCAUUUUCUUUCAAAAACAAGGACAUUUCUAAGUGACCCCAAACUUUUGAACGGUAGUGUAUAUAGCGAGAGAGAGGCAGAAAUAGAGACAGAUAGAGGGAGAAACAGAAAGAGAGAGGUGGAGAGUGUGUGGGCCAUGGCUGUGUCGCUCCUGGGGUGUAAUCUCUUUAGCAGUGUCACUGACUAGGAAGCAGUCAGAGGCUCCAUCCAUCCUCUAUCCUCUAAAGCAGUCAGAGGCUCCAUCCAUCCUCUAUCCGCUAAAGCUCAUUGAUCGUGUCAGAGACCAGACAGAGUGAGGGCCGGUCACUCCCUCCCUCGCACCCUUCUUCCUCCUUAUUCCCUCUUUCUUUCCUUCUCUCUUUCGUUCUCUCUCUCUCUGGAUCAAUAUUGAUUAUUAUCUUUAAACUGCCUGUCUGUGUGGGGAGGAGAGGAGGACCGAGGGAGAGAGAAAGAGAGUGUGAAGAGACAUAAAAAGGAUGAGAAGAUAUUGAUCUCUUUUUUGGGGGAUUAUCACCGUCUCCUUUGUAUGAGGGAGCUGUGCCUGGAUGGAGAGACAGGAAGGUGGAGAAAGAAACAGAAUAUGGGCUUGAAUAACAGGAGGAGUAAGAGGAAGUAGAGAAAGAGAAUGAGAAGGGCAAGGUAAACCAGUGAUGGUUUUCAGGAAUGAAGGCUGUUGAUCUACCCCACAGUGAGAUUUCUUCAGUCCUAAAUGACAUGCCAUUAUCAACACAUUUGGACUGAAGUGAUCCCAAAUCUGUCAAACAAUCAGCUUUCUAUUCUUUCUCAGGAAUGACCAGUGUUCCAUCCUUCCAAUCAGCUUUCCACUCUUACUUAUGGUUACUUUGCAAUGGUCUGGUCAUAAUGCAAUGUGACCAUCCUUAUCGCCUUGUUUGUAGCGGUCAACUGCAGGUUGCCUUGUGGUCAUAGGACAUGUGUAUCUAUGUGCCCCCCCCCUCACACUCUCCUCCUUCAAUCAUUUUCUCUGCCCGGCCCAUGAUCGUCAUUGACACUCAAAUGAUGGAAGUGAAUAAAACUCAUUAUGGACAGUCAGUGUGAGUCAUGGGGAACAUUAAAAGUUGCGUCUGGCCACCUCCUGCCUCUCAUCCCUUAGACUGUUUUAUGAUUCUCCUGUCCGGUCCCAGACCCGCUUACCCAUGCCAAAGUCCAUCAAUCCACACCUACAAUAUGCCCCCCUCCUCCAGCCUAGCCCUCCCCCUCCAGACUCACCCUCUGGCUAAAAGACAUGGACAAAUGAGGAGUGAGGGAGAUGGGGGAGGGGGAGGGCUGGACAGAGGAGAGGGGAGGGGAAGAGUGAGGAAGCUUUGGUGGAGGAUAGGAGGGCUGGACAGAAGAGAGGAGAGAUUACGGUCAAUUUUCUGACUGUUCUUCUGCAGCAGGUCAUGGCACUCACUCUAUGCUUCUUACUGCGUUCGAAGAUCUAGUUUGCGGAUGAUCUGGGGAUUCUGUCCCCAACCAAGUAGGGCCUACAGCAGCACCAUGAUCUUCUGCAAAAACAUCUUCCCUGUACAACACCCAAUAAUGCUUGCAGAGCAGAAUUAAGAUGAUUCCCCCUAAUUAUCAAAAUCAAUGUAGACCAAUUAAAUUCUACAACCACCUAAAAAUAAAUUAUUCUCAAACCUUCCAUAACAAAUCCCUCGCCAGCUGAUACGGGGUCUCUGUUGUUCACAAACAAAAAAGACCCCACAGAGCCCCAGGACAGAAACACAAUUAGACCCAACCAAAUAAUGAGAAAACUAAAAGAUAAUGCUGGAAACAUUGUAAAGAAUCAACAAAAAAACUGAGCAAACUGGAAUGUUAUUUGGCUCUAAACAGAGAGUACACAGUGGCAGAAUACCUGACAGUGGCAGAAUACCUGACCCAAAUUGAAGAAAACUUUGACUAUGUACAGCCUCAGUGAGCAUAGCUUUGCUAUUGAGAGAGGCCGCCAUAGGCAGACUGUGCCCACUGCCCACAAAAUUAGAUGGAAACCGAGCUGCACUUCCUAACCAAAUGUAUGACCAUAUUAAAGACCUAUUUCCCUCAGAUAACACAGACCCACAAAGAAUUUGAAAACACAUUCAAUCUUAAUAAACUCUCAUAUCUAUUGGAUGAAAUACCAGUGUGCCAUCACAACAACAGCACAACAGCAGCAUGACCUGUUGCCACAAGGAAAGGUCAACCAGUGAAGAACAAACACCAUUUGCCAUGCCAAUAAAUCCCUUUGAAUUGAAAUUGAGAGAGAGACCGAGAGAAGGGGUGAGAGAGGGAGAGAGAAGGGGGAGAAAGGGAGAGAGAAAGGGGAAAGAUGCCAGGGGUCACAUGAUUGCACGACAAACCCAUAAAAGUUCCAUUAACCCCCCUUCCCCCACCUUCGUCCCAAACCCACCACCCUCGUCUCGCCCUGACCCCCACCACCCUCGUCUCUCCCUGACUCUGAGUUCCUGGUCUAUGAGUCAGGUCCUGGAGACGCCACAGGUCUC
rnacentral:lncRNA from 1 species